CCUACGGGUGGCAGCAGUGAGGAAUAUUGGUCAAUGGGCGCAAGCCUGAACCAGCCAAGUCGCGUGAAGGAUGAAUGCCCUACGGGUUGUAAACUUCUUUUAUAAAGGAAUAAAGUGAGGCACGUGUGCCAUUUUGUAUGUACUUUAUGAAUAAGGAUCGGCUAACUCCGUGCCAGCAGCCGCGGUAAUACGGAGGAUCCGAGCGUUAUCCGGAUUUAUGGGGUUUAAAGGGUGCGUAGGUGGGCUGUUAAGUCAGUUGUGAAAGUUUGCGGCUCAACCGUAAAAUUGCAAUUGAUACUGGGAGGCUUGAGUAUGUUUGAGGUAGGCGGAAUGCGUGGUGUAGCGGUGAAAUGCUUAGAUAUCACGAAGAACUCCGAUUGCGAAGGCAGCUUACUAAACUGUCACUGACACUGAUGCACGAAAGUGUGGGUAUCAAACAGGAUUAGAUACCCUUGUAGUC
rnacentral:rRNA from 1 species